ACAUAUCAUGUUGAAACACCAGUUCCUGUACGAUCACUGAAGUUAAGCAACAGUGAGCCUGGUCAGUACCUAGAAGGGUGACCACUUGGGAAUAACAC